GUCGGGGCUGCCCGCCUGGCCCUGGGCCGCCUUCAGCCGAGAGUGUGUGCACACGGGAGGCUCUCCUUCUCCAGAGCGGAGCCCCCCUGCCUCAACCUGACCUGGCAGAGAGAGAGAGAUUCCCAGACCUUCCCCCUCCCCUCCUCCCCAAGCACAGUCCCCAGGGGUAGGGUGCAGACAGCAGGUUCACCCCCAAAUUCCCAGGAAAGAAUAAAGAGGAAAUAAGUGCAGCAGGACAGCAGCAAGGACUGACAUUAGAGAGAAGGAAGAAUUUCCCAAUGCCAAAAGAACCAGCAGCCAAGGAAUGGCAUAGCUUUCUUCCAUUCCAGGCUCUCUGUCCAAGAGGGCAUCGUAGGCCCUUGGGCUAGUGAGGCUGUAGACGAGCCUACCCCUGUGGUGUCCUGGCCCCCAGCGCAAGGCAUAGAUUCUAGGGGAAAAACAGAGCCCCUCCCCGGCACAGGCAGCAGAGCAGCGAAGAUGGAGGUGGGGGCUAGGCAAGGGCUCAGGACAAGGUCAGAUUUUGAGCUGGAUCCAAAGUCAUCUUGUGA
rnacentral:lncRNA from 1 species